rnacentral:rRNA from 1 species
AAACCGACUCUCGSCAACGGAUAUCUCGGCUCUCGCAUCGAUGAAGAACGUAGCGAAAUGCGAUACUUGGUGUGAAUUGCAGAAUCCCGUGAACCAUCGAGUCUUUGAACGCAAGUUGCGCCCUAAGCCUUCUGGCCGAGGGCACGUCUGCCUGGKUGUCACAA